UCCGCCGUGGUGUAGUGGUUAGCAUUGGUCGCUUUCAACCAUGGAAGUCAAUUCCAAGGUGAAGUGCCGACUAGACCCGGGUUCAAUUCCCGGCGGCGGAA